rnacentral:rRNA from 1 species
UUGUAUAAUCUAUAAUAUUACUAAGGUAUAUAUUAUAUUAUCAACAUCCUUCCUAUUAUAUUUCUAAAUAUAUAGGAAACUUUACUUUGAGAAAAUUAGAGUGCUUAAAGCAGGCAACUGCCUUGAAUACUCCAGCAUGGAAUAAUAAGUAAGGACUUUUGUCUUUCUUAUUGGUUCUAGGACAAAAGUAAUGGUUAAUAGGGACAGUUGGGGGCAUUCGUAUUUAACAGCCAGAGGUGAAAUUCUUAGAUUUGUUAAAGACGAACUACUGCGAAAGCAUUUGCCAAGGAUGUUUUCAUUAAUCAAGAACGAAAGUUAGGGGAUCGAAGACGAUCAGAUACCGUCGUAGUCUUAACCAUAAACUAUGCCGACUAGAGAUUGGAGGUUGUU